rnacentral:lncRNA from 1 species
UUUCUCUUGCGAUGGGGACCAAUGUUCUUGAAGUUAUCUGAAACUCUGUCUUUGUCCUCCAUCUUCUGUCCAAUCUCUUCAAAGUUUUGUUAAACUUUCUACCAACAAAAGCUAUAACAUCUGAUAGACUUUCUUCAGGAUCACAUUGAUCUUCAUCCUCUUCAGUGUUGGAUACAAAGUCAAUACUCUUAUUUUUCUUUUCAGUUUUAUCAUUUAUUUUCAUCUCAAAGAUUUGCAAGGAUCCAAUGAGUUCAUCCACUUUGAUGAUGCUAAUUUCUUGGGCUUCUUCAAUAUUUGUGAUCUUUAUAUUAAAUCUUUUAGGUAGGGAUCUUAUUAUCUUUUUGACUAUUUUUUCUUCAGACAUAUUCUCUCCUAAAGCAAAAAAAG